rnacentral:rRNA from 1 species
AUGGUCGUCAAAGAGACCCUGCGGCUGCACCCGCCGAUUACGCUGCUUCUGCCGCGGGAGACGCUGCAGAGGGUGGAGAUCGGCGGCUACGACGUGCCGGCGGGGUCGCGGGUGCUCGUGAACGCAUGGGCCAUCGGGAGGGACCCCAUGAGCUGGGGGCAGGACGCGGAGGAGUUCGAGCCGGAGAGGUUCGAGGCCGGCGGGAGGCACGGCAAGGUGGACUUCCGUGGCGCUCACUUGGAACUGAUGCCGUUCGGCGCCGGCCGGCGAAUCUGCCCAGCACUGGUCAUGGGGGUGGCGAACAUGGAGUUCACGUUGGCCAACAUGCUGUACGGCUUUGAGUGGGAGCUGCCGGAGGGGACGUUGGCCGAGAAGGUGAGCAUGGAGGAGGCCGGUAGGCUGACCUUCCACCGCAAGACGCCGCUGGUGCUCGUGCCUACCCCAUACGUAGUGUGA